rnacentral:lncRNA from 1 species
UAUCCUGGCCAAGAGAGCAGAUUUAAAGGAGACAUGGCCUAAAAAAGGAAGGUUCCCACCUGGAGUUUGCC